rnacentral:rRNA from 1 species
AUUGAACGCUGGCGGCAGGCCUAACACAUGCAAGUCGAGCGGAUGAAGGGAGCUUGCUCCUGGAUUCAGCGGCGGACGGGUGAGUAAUGCCUAGGAAUCUGCCUGGUAGUGGGGGAUAACGUCCGGAAACGGGCGCUAAUACCGCAUACGUCCUGAGGGAGAAAGUGGGGGAUCUUCGGACCUCACGCUAUCAGAUGAGCCUAGGUCGGAUUAGCUAGUUGGUGGGGUAAGGGCCUACCAAGGCGACGAUCCGUAACUGGUCUGAGAGGAUGAUCAGUCACACUGGAACUGAGACACGGUCCAGACUCCUACGGGAGGCAGCAGUGGGGAAUCUUGCGCAAUGGGCGAAAGCCUGAUCCAGCCAUGCCGCGUGUGUGAAGAAGGUCUUCGGAUUGUAAAGCUCUUUAAGUUGGGAGGAAGGGCAGUAAGUUAAUACCUUGCUGUUUUGACGUUACCAGCAGAAUAAGCACCGGCUAACUUCGUG